ensembl:snoRNA Gm22520 predicted gene, 22520
CAGCAUAUUUCCAAGGGUAUAUCUGGUUGUAGAUACAGGAUCCCCAACUGCAUGCCUGAGUAACUGGAAAGAAUUUAACAGCCCAGGACAAAACAGUGACUGAAGCUGCCACUUGCUUUUCCUAUAUAU